rnacentral:rRNA from 1 species
UACAGAGGUCUCAAGCGUUGUUCGGAUUCAUUGGGCGUAAAGGGUGUGUAGGUGGCGCCGUAAGUCGGGUGUGAAAUUUCGGAGCUUAACUCCGAAACUGCAUUCGAUACUGCGGUGCUUGAGGACUGGAGAGGAGACUGGAAUUCAUGGUGUAGCAGUGAAAUGCGUAGAGAUCAUGAGGAAGACCAGUGGCGAAGGCGGGUCUCUGGAUAGUUCCUGACACUGAGACACGAAGGCCAGGGGAGCAAACGGG